rnacentral:rRNA from 1 species
UACGAAGGGGGCUAGCGUUGCUCGGAAUUACUGGGCGUAAAGCGCACGUAGGCGGAUCUUUAAGUCAGGGGUGAAAUCCUGGAGCUCAACUCCAGAACUGCCUUUGAUACUGAGGACCUUGAGUUCGGGAGAGGUGGGUGGAACUGCGAGUGUAGAGGUGAAAUUCGUAGAUAUUCGCAAGAACACCAGUGGCGAAGGCGGCUCACUGGCCCGAUACUGACGCUGAGGUGCGAAAGCGUGGGGAGCAAACAGG